rnacentral:rRNA from 1 species
AGUGAACGCUGGCGGUAGGCCUAACACAUGCAAGUCGAACGGCAGCACAGUAAGAGCUUGCUCUUACGGGUGGCGAGUGGCGGACGGGUGAGGAAUACAUCGGAAUCUACUUUUUCGUGGGGGAUAACGUAGGGAAACUUACGCUAAUACCGCAUCCGACCUACGGGUGAAAGCAGGGGAUCUUCGGACCUUGCGGGAUUGAAUGAGCCGAUGUCGGAUUAGCUAGUUGGCGGGGUAAAGGCCCACCAAGGCGACGAUCCGUAGCUGGUCUGAGAGGAUGAUCAGCCACAUUGGAACUGAGACACCGUCCAGACUCCUACGGGAGGCAGCAGUGGGGAAUAUUGGACAAUGGGCGCAAGCCUGAUCCAGCCAUACCGCGUGUGUGAAGAAGGCCUUCGGGUUGUAAAGCCCUUUUGUUGGGAAAGAAAAGCAGCAGGUUAAUACCCCGCUGUUCCGACGGUACCCAAAGAAUAAGCACCGGCUAACUUCGUG